rnacentral:rRNA from 1 species
ACGGGAGUAGCAAUACUCCAGUGGCGGACGGGUGAGUAACGCGUGAGAAUCUACCUUCGGGUCGGGGACAACCACUGGAAACGGUGGCUAAUACCGGAUAUGCCUUCGGGUAAAAGAUUUAUUGCCAGAAGAAGAGCUCGCGUCUGAUUAGCUAGUUGGUAGGGUAAAAGCCUACCAAGGCAUCGAUCAGUAGCUGGUCUGAGAGGACGAUCAGCCACACUGGGACUGAGACACGGCCCAGACUCCUACGGGAGGCAGCAGUGGGGAAUUUUCCGCAAUGGGCGAAAGCCUGACGGAGCAAGACCGCGUGAGGGAAGAAGGCUCUUGGGUCGUAAACCUCUUUUGUUAGGGAAGAACACAAUGACGGUACCUAACGAAUCAGCCUCGGCUAACUCCGUGCCAGCAGCCGCGGUAAUACGGAGGAGGCAAGCGUUAUCCGGAAUUAUUGGGCGUAAAGCGUCCGCAGGUGGCGAUUCAAGUCUGCGGUCAAAGACUG